ACUCUGUUGGUAGAGUACAAAGCUCUUAACCUUGUGGACGUGGGUUCAAGCCCCAU
rnacentral:tRNA from 1 species